AAACAAAUCUAUUACCAUGUCAAACCACAGAAAUGAAACUGAACUGAACUACCUGAUGAAGUGUUGAACGAGCAGGUAAAGACCCUCACGCUUUCAAAGCUGGAUAAAACUCUCCCAAGUGUUUGCUUACAGUGACACUAACAGUCGUCUUCUUUCUCAUGAACAAACUUUUUGAGUUUGAGGCGACAAACAUGGUUAGCUAACAGCUAGCCGCUCGGCUAACAUAAGCGUCAGUUGGCAGCUCGUUGUCUGUUUGGAGCCACCUGACAACCACUCACAUGACUAACUACUGAGCAGACCGAUGACAUUACACAACAGGAAACAGAUUAUUGUAUGUGUAUUGUCUGUAUUUGUAGUUUGGAUCGCUGGAGUGUCGCUUAGGGGCUUGUUAAACAACAAGCCACAACAACAACAACAACAACAUGUUUGGUAAAAAGAAGAGAGCACCGCAGCCGAGAGGCCAGGGCGCUGCUGCAGCCAAGCAGAUGGGUCUGUUUGUAGACCUGGACCCUGAGGAGAUGAUGGGUAUGGAGGGGAAUCUGGACGACCCGGACUUGGAGGAUGAACUUGCUGCUAUCACUGGAAAUAGAGCUGCUACUGCUGGAGGAAGAGCCAAGCAGAAGGGGAAAAGCCCCCUGCCCAUGGAAGACAUCGCAAGAAUGGCUGACGAGUGUAUGAGAGAUGAGGAUGAGGAUGAAGAUGACAGUAACCUGGAGGACGAUGAAGAUCUACUGGCAGAGCUACAGGAAGUGGUGGGUGAGGGGGAAGCUGAGGAUGCUGUAACUGUUUCCCCCACAUCCUCACUCACUGCUGAAUCUCCUCAAGCUGAAAAACCAAAGUCCCCACUGACGCAGCAGCAGGACGUAAAGGUCUCCUCAGCAGCUCCUGGCAGCCUCCAACACACCCUGGAGGAGAGAGUUAUCAUGUACAAGACGGCUUUACAAAACGCUAAAACUGCAGGGGAUACCUCCAAAGCCAGGAGAUAUGAUCGCGGCCUGAAGACUCUGGAGACGAUGUUAGCUGCUGUUAAAAAAGGGAGACCUGUGAACGAGGCAGAGAUCCCUCCUCCAGUUGCCACUGGAGCUCCGAGUUCUGCCUCUAAUCCUGCUGUUCCCCGUCGACCUCCUCCCCCUGUACCCUCGCCUCCUGAAACCACUCCUUCAGAUCAGCAGGGGGAGGCGGAGGCCACGAUGCCACCGCCACCUGCUGUACCAGAGAUCCUCACCCCCAGCAGUGAGGAGGAGCAGUCGUCCUCCGCCAGCCUGCCGCCAAUGAGCACUGUCCCAUCUCCACAGGAGCAGACAAAGAAACCUGCAGGCCAGCCUCAGACCAGUCUGACAGAUGUGAACAAGGCAACCAAGACGUUGCUUUUGGAGAGGCAGAAAGAAUACAAGAUGGCAGCACUGAGAGCCAAGAAGCAGGGAGAUGCUGAGCAAGCUACGCUUUACUUCAAGACCAGCAAGAGGUUCGAUGCGGUGAUUGAGGCGUUGGAGAAAGGACAAGCAGUCGACCUGAGUGGCCUUCCUCCAUCUCCAGGACAGGGUACAGAAGGAGGCUUUGCUCCAGUGAAAGAACCUUCCUCUGGGCAAAACAUAGAAGUCACCCAACUGGUUACAGCAGCUCCAGCCCCAGCAGCUCCCAAAGACGUGCUGGAGGCUCUCGAGCAGAGAAGAGCCAAGUAUGUGGAGGCGUCCAAUCAGGCUAAAGCUGGUGGAGAUGACCGCAAGGCCCGAAUGCAUGACCGUAUCGCCAAGCAAUACCAGAGUGCCAUCCGAGCUCACAAAGCUGGAAAAGCGGUCAACUUUGAGGAGCUACCGGUUCCCCCUGGUUUUCCUCCAAUCCCGGGCCAGAAGGCAUCAGGAGCAGAGCAGGGAUUCGUUGCUGCUCUGGAGGCAGCCAAUAAGCUUGCCUCCACUGAUGCUUCCCAAAUAGCAGAUGAAGAAGAAGAUGAGGAGAAGGAGGAGGAGUCUAAGCCUGCUGUUCCAGAAGAGCCAAAGAAGCCCAUGUUAGAUUUCUCCACUGCAGGGCAAGACCGGAAAAGAACUCCGUCAGCUUCACCUGACAGAACAGCUGCCAGGGAAGGACUCUCACCAACAGCGGGUCAGCAGCUGGAGUUUCUGGAGGGCAGGAAGAAGAUGUACAUGAAGGCAGCUCUGCAGGCAAAGCAGAAGAACGACAUGGAGCAGGCCAAGAUUUUCCUCCGCACCGCCAAGGGCUUGGAGCCCCUGAUCGAGGCAGCACGCAGCGGCAAGACUGUGGACAUCAGCACAGUGCCGUCGCCCCCUGGUGACGAAGACGACGACUUCAUCCUGGUUCAUCACAGCGACGUGCAGAUCUCAGAGAAAGCAGAGCAGCUUUACACACAACUGGCCAAGAUCCUAAAAGAGCAGUACGAGAAAUGUAUGACUCACUCCAAGCAGUUCACACAUCUGGGGAACGUCACAGAAACAACAAAGUUUGAGAAGAUGGCGGAGAGCUGUAAGAAGAGUCUGGAGGUCCUGAAGCUGGCUCAGUCGAGAAGUCUUCCUCCUCCUAAACAUCACUUUGAGGAGAGAUCGUUUCACACUGUCAGGAUAUUUCCAGACCUGAGCAGCACUGACAUGGUUGUUGUCAUCGUCAAAGGGAUGAAUCUUCCUGCUCCGAGUGGAAUCCAAGCAAAUGAUCUGGAUGCAUACGUCAAGUUCGACUUCCCUUACCCCAGCACGGAGCAGCCGCAGAAACACAAAACAGCUGUCAUCAAGAACACUAACUCCCCGGAAUAUAACCAGAGCUUUACCCUGUCAAUCAACCGUAACCACCGCGGCUUCAGGAGGGUGGUGACGUCUAAAGGCCUCAAACUGGAGCUGCUGCACAAAGGCGGUUUCUUACGGAGCGACAAGCCGAUUGGGACGGCCCUUGUAAAGCUGGAAAAACUGGAGUCACAGAGUGAAAUCAGGGAGAUCGUAGAGGUGAUGGACGGUCGUAAGGCCACAGGAGGGCGUGUUGAAGUGAAGAUCCGCCUGCGGGAGCCUCUGAGCGGACAGGACAUGCAGAUUAGCACCGAGCGCUGGCUGGUGAUCGACCAGUCACAGGUUACAUCAAAUAUACAGUGUUUAUAUUUUUGCAGCUCAAAGACAAACCUGAGAUUGUGUAAAAAUGUCUGAUGUUGGGUUCUUUUUAUCUCCAAGGUUCUUGUUUAGAUGCUGCUGCAAGAUUAAAGAUGAUUCACAAGAUAAAGAUUAAAGGCACUCAAUAAAAAACACUCGGAGGAGGACGGAGUUUGGGAUGUGAUGAGGACGGUCUGUUGUUCAGAGUGGACUCUACUACACGGGUCUUAGACUUGGUAAAACUUUUGCACAUUUGCAAGACACAAGAGCUCCCUUUCACACUGCAGUCCACCAGGAGCAGACAUGGAGCCCUCCGUCUUCAGUCUGACACCAGCUGAUGGACAAAUACUUGUGAUGCACCAGGGCAGACUUGCAACAAGGGGAAGCCUCCUUAAAUCAGAGAAAACUAUUCAGGCAAAGAUUACAGUUUUCCAAAAAGUCUCCUCGUGUAUCACUCCAUCUCCUGGAGGACGGCAGGCAGCGUUUCCUCUGCUAAGGGGCUCAGUGUCGAGCUAAACUGAUCCUGCUGCCCAACAUGACUUCAGUUAAUAUAUCAAAGAAUGUGUCCAUAUUCUUCAUAUUAUUACAGCUCUGGUAUCUAGAACUGCACCUAUGCACUAAUACCAAAGUAAUCACUGUUGCUGUAAAAUCCUGCAUAUUUGAAAUCGCCAGUUAGCUGCCAAAUCUGUUACUAUGACACGAGAAGUUUAAUGUGUGACAGGACUGUUUUUAAUUAUUUUUCCCCACACAAUUCAUCAGUUUUGUUGUAAGUGUGAGAAUGCAGGCAGACGCAGCAACUCUCGUAGAUGUUUUAAAGGAGUAAGCCAAGAAAUGAUGAUACUGUAUACUAUGGUACGAUUAUAUAUAUUUAUUUGGAAGACCACACUCCCUUUUUGGCACCUUUCACGUUGAUUAGUAAGUCCUCUACUUGUGGUCACUAAACUGCACACUCACUUAUCUGUGGCUUUAGGUGUGUUAGAUUUAUAUUUGUCUUGUUUACACUUAAUAACACAAAUCUGUGCAAAAUCA